AUCCUAUAUCUCUCUUGUAUGUGCUGGAAAGGAAAACAGCAAUUGUUGAAAACGCUAGACAUUGCUCUGCUUCCUAUAGGUCCCACCCAUAAACCAUAUUUUCUUUUGGAUUUCCUCAAACUUCCUGUUGCCAGGUGAGCCAUUCAAUAGAUACAGCCUGAAGUCACCACAGCUGACAUUUCCCAUUAAUUUCAUAUUUUUCCUCUAUUUGGGCAAUAUGUUUAAGACAAGCUGUUUCAGUUUUUAUUUAAUUUUAGUGAAAAUUACAGUCCCUUUACACACGUCUUAGAGCCACAGGAUAAAGACAAUUUAAAGCUGAAAGGAUGGAUCUGUUUCCACAGUAACCUAAGGUUAUACAAGUGAUAUCUUUCCAAACCAGUAAAAAAGGAAGCCUUCUAUUGCCUCCUUAUGGUGAAAAGGUUUCAGCCUUUAAAAAAAAAAAAAAAAAAGCCAGAGCAAGUCAAGGCUCAGUGUCAUUGCUUACUUAUAUAUUCACCAAUCACUCAGCUGGGAAGAGAAGUGCUACUUUGGAAUUUUCCUGCAUUCCAGAGUUCACUAAUGCAAUCCACUUCCACAACAACUUCUUUGCUCUAUCCAAGGUUCCCCCUUAGGAGAUCUCUCAAGAAAAAGGCACUCUCACACUGUCAGCAUCCUAUUCUUGUCACAGAGAAUUCUUAAUAGAUAUUUUAAAGAAGCCAGUGUUCCCCACAGAUACUGUGCAAACAAUACAAUACCAAAUUAGAUCAUUUAUUCCAUACCUGAGGUAGAGAUGUUCCUGAUUCCUGAAUGGAUGUCUUCACUGAUUCUCCUGGGGGGGGGGGGGGGGGGUGAGAGAGAGAAACCAUUUACAAAGCUGAAGGAGAACUAAGCACACUCCCAUGCUGACUGGGUUUCUUUAUAUCUCAGCUGUCCUCUUCCCCUAUUUUCUUCCCCUUACUGUGUCUUCUUUCUUCAGCUCUACUUGGCCCCAAGGUUUCAGCCUCACACUGAAGAACCUAACUGAUAAGAAAACACAAGUCUGCAUGCCAGGCAGGGGUUAUAUAGAAAAACUGCUUAAAUAGCAAAGGGGGAAAAAAGGCUCUCCCUUGCCUUUCUCCAGGCGAGGACCAGGUGACUGAUGAGUUUUUAAACUGAUAGGGAGAAUCCAAUAACCUCACCACCUAGCAAUAUCAAUAGCUUUUUUCCAUGUGGACAAGGUGGAUAAGGCCUAGAGGGGGACAGCCUUAGAGACUGCAGAGAAGGGAAAAUGUACUUGUAUUAGCCACUUGUACAACAGAUGGCCAUGUUUUCUUAGUCCAGUGAUAUUGAGAGAUCAUAAAAUAAAAUGGCAGUUGCAAGAUAAGGACAGUGAGCCUAGCAAAUGUAGAUGAGCCUAAAGUCAAUAUCAUUAGGUAAAAAUGACUUUAUUAGCCCAGAUAGGUGGAGAAACCACCAGUUUUGAAGCCAUAAAGGGCUAGCUCAAACCCUAGCACCAUCACUGAUGAGUUCUGUGAUCUUAGGCAAAUUUACUGCUGAAGUCUCAGGCUCUUUUGUUUUGGUUUUAAAUCCCUAAGGUGAACAUACCAACAUCUACCUUAGAAGAUUGUUGCAAAAAUGAGAAUGGCAAAGACAAGCAAAGAAAAUGCCAGUAUUUUUAAGGUUUGAGGGAAAUGAGGCCUUUCAAGUGUGUAAGUUGAAACAGUGUUUUAAGGGGCAUCUGGUUGGCUCAGUCAGUGGAGUGUGUGAAUCUUGAUCUCAGGGUUGUAAGUUCACGCCCCACGUCAGGUGUAGAGAAUACUUAAAACAAAAUAAAAUCUUAAAAAAAAAAACAAUCUGUUUAAAGAACAACUGGUGAUAUCCUUUAAAACAACAUUUUGCUUCUAGAAGUUUAUCCUAAGGAAAUAAUAGAGCAAGUAUGCAAGAAUAUGUACUGAAUAACUGUUUAUAAUGGCCUCAAACUGGGGCACCUGGGUGGCUUAGUUGGUUAAGCAUCUGACUUCAGCUCAGGUCAUGAUCUUGCAGUUCAUGAGUUCGAGCCCUGUGUUGGGCUUUGUGCUGACAGCUCAGAGCCUGGAGCCUGCUUCAGAUUCUGUGUCUCCCUCUCUCUCUGCCCCUCCCCUACUCACACUCUGUCUCUCUCUCUUCCUUCCAAAAAUAAAUAAACAGUAAAAAAAAAUUUUAUAAUGGCCUCAAACUAGAAAAAUACUUAAAAAUGAAACUGGCUAAAUUAAUCAUGAUACAUAUAAUGGAUACUAUACAUGUUAAAAAGGAUAAGAAAGAUCUUUUUGUAUUUGACAUGAAAAGAUACAUAAGACAUAGUAAGUGAAAUGGGUUAUUUUACAACAUGAAUAUUAUUAAUCCAACAUACUUAAAUAUAUGUAUUUGUGUGCAUAUCCUUACACAUAGAUAUGCUUAAAAAUAACAGUCCAGCGGUAUAUAAAUCAAAUAUUAACAGUGGUUAUCUGAUACUUGGGAUUAAAAGGAAAUUUCUCUUUAUCAUUUUGCAUUUAAGCAAUCAUGGAUUAACAGAAUAAAAAACACAAAAUAACUUAUUUUAAUAUGCUUAUCUCAGUGUAAGGCAUUUAGUAAGAGCUUAAUAAAUUACAGUGAUCAUCAUCAUCAUCCAAUUGAAAUCUAUUUGGAAGUCAAAAUUAAUAUGAAGACUUUUUCUUUUAUUAGCAAAUAAAGCAUCCAGGUGAAAGCAGGUACCUAGCUCUCCUAAGAAUCACCAGAGGUGUUAGAUGCCUCACUUAUCUCUCCUGUAUAAUUACAGUGAAGGAUAAACCUGCCGUCAGGGUGUGCUGUGGAAAGAACACUGAUUGUUCUUCAUUCCUAUCCAAAUCUGCCAGCUCUCCUAUUUUCCUUUUAAACAGCUUUCAAAAUGCAAAUUCUCACCACCUCGUCAGUGUUUUGAGAAACAUGCUGUCACUUCAGGAAUAAAUUCACUUCUCAAUAGCUUUUGCUGGAGAGCAGAAUACUAGGUGAGGAAUGACAGGCAUGAGCUAUGCCAUCUGGCUAAUCUGGGAGAAAUCCUUCUCAGUUUCUAGGUGCAGGCAGACAGCAUGUAGGCUGAGUCAUAAGAUUUUGGCAAGGGGCCUGCCACAUAAAGAAGGCUUCCAUCGGCUCUCAGCACUGCACCCAGGACAAACUCCAAGCCCCUCAGGGAAGACUGAGCCCUCCUUACCUGCCUAUCAAUCCCCUGCCUCCUUGAGUUCUGAAACACAAUCAUCUACAAUGCAGUGUGAGACCAAGUCUCAGCCUUCACUUGAAGGAGGACUCAAGACAAGCAAAAGAAAUAGAUUUUUUAAAUGAUGUUAUAGGAUCAAGUGCUGAUGUUUUAAGAGAGAAGAGAGAAAUCGUAUGGGUUGAAAUGCCUAGUUUUUUAUUGUAUUUUUUCCUUCUUUUUAGGAGUACAGAGAUGUCAUCUGUAGAGUAUCUAGAUGUAUUAAAUAAGCUAUAAAACAAGAUCCUAGUAACCUUUCUUCUUCCUGCUGCUAGAUAUUCAAUUUAACUCAAUUUAUUAUCAUGGCUAGAUUAAUGUUUCACAUAGCCUGAUUAUAGUUCCAUUUCAGGUAUAAAACCUGAAACUUCUUAAAAACAUCGCCAAGAUGAUGAAACUGAGUAAGAGGUAUUUAAGUUCAAAUAAGCUAAUUCAUUACAUAAUUAGAAAUGCCAAGGACUACAUUUUAAGAACUUAACUGCUAUUUAUUUUGAGAACUUAAUCAGAAUAGGUAGAUAAAGGAAAUGGGAAACUCCAAAAAUGCAAUGAUUUAUACUUGAAUUAUCAAGCAUUUAUAAAGAAUGAAUGUAGGGGCACCUGGGUGGCUCAGUCAGUUAAGCAUCCGACUUCAGCUCAGGUCAUGAUCUCACGGCUUCCGGGUUUCAGCCCAGCAUCAGGCUCUGUGCUGACAACUCAGAGCCUGGAGCCUGCUUUGGAUUCUGUGUGUGUCUCUCUCUCACCCUCCCCUGCUCACAUACCCGCUCUCCCUCUCUCUCAAAAGUGAAUAAACAUUACAAAAAAAGAAAGAAAGAAAAAUUGGCCUUACUCUGAGUAUCAGGUUGUCCCACAUUGAGUCUUUGUUCAUUACUUCUCCCAUUCUGGAGCUUCAAAUAUAAAGAAUAAGGUCAUACCCCCUGUUAGUUUUUUCAGAGGCACUUUAUAUCACACCUCUUUAAAUAUCUCAAUAGAAUUCUUACCCAGGAAAAAAAUUAAAGUAUCACAUUCACAGUUAAAUUAUCUAAAGGAGAAUAGCAAGAGCGGUUAACUCCGUAAGUCCCAUUUCUAUAGCCAAAGAACAAGGCAACUCUUCUUUUUAAAAAGUAAAAAUACAAUGAACAUGUAAAUAUGCUAAAUUAGCUUAUUAGAAUAUUCCAAAACAGCUCAAUGAAGUCAGACGUUACAGUAUUGUAGAGUUGCUAUAAUAGCUCCAAGUUAGAACAAGCUGUUGGAACAUCAGAUCGACAUUCUACCUGAUCCUUUAACACAGAGGCAAUGUACGGUAUGGUUAAGGAUGAGAGUUCUAGGGGUGCCUGGGGGGCUCAGUCGGUUAAGCGUCCAACUUCAGCCCAGGUCAUGAAUCUUACGGUUUGUGAGCUCAAGCCCCGCGUCGGGCUCUGUGCUGACAGCUCGGAGCCUGGAGCCUGCUUCAGAUUCUGUAUCUCCCUCUCUCUCUGCCCCUCCCCAGCUCACACUCACUCUCUCUGUCAAAAAUAAAUUUUAAAAACUUUAAAAAAAAAAGAAAGAAAGAAUGAGAGUUCUAAAGUACUGGUGAGGAUGUGGAGAAAAAGGAACCCUCAUGCACUGUUGGUGGGAAUGUAAAUUUGUUCAGCCACUGUGGAAAACAGUAUGGAGGAGGUUCCCCAAAAAAUGAAAAAUAGAAAUACUACAUAUUCUGGUAGUUCCACUACUGGGUAUUUACCCAAAGAAUACGAAAAUAUUAAUUCAAAAAGAUAUAUGUACCCCUAUGUUUACUACAGCAUUAUUUUAAAAAGCCAAGAUAUAGAAGUAACCUAAGUAUGUAUUGAUAAAGAACAGAUAUGGAUAAAAAAGAUAUGGUAUAUGUAUAAAAUGGAAUAUUACACAGGCACAAAAAAGGAUGAGAUUGUGCCAUUUGUAACAACAUGGAUUGACGUAGAAGGUAUCAUGCUAAGUGGAGUAAGUCAGACUCAGAAAGACAAAUACCACUCAUAUGUGGAAUCUUAAAAAUAUAUAUAUAUGGGGACACCUGGGUGGCUCAGUCAAUUGAGCAUCCGACUCUUGAUUUCAGCUCAGGUCAUGAUCCCAGAAUCAUGGAAUCAAGCCCCACAUCAGGCUCUGCACUCAGUGCGGAGCCUGCUUAAGAGUCUCUUUCUCUCUCUCCCUCUGCUCCUCUCCCCCGCUCACACUCUCUCUCUAAAAUAAAAAUAAAUUAAAAAUUUUUAAAAAUAUGAAUAAACAAACAAAAAGCAGAAUCAGACCUAUAAAUAGAGAGGACAAACUGAUGGUUGCCAGAGGAGAGAGGGGUGGGAGGAUGGGCCAAAUGGGUGACGGCUUCCAGUUAUGGAGUGAAUAAGUCACAGCCUAAGAAAUAUAAUCAAUGAUAUUAGCUUGUAUGGUGACAGAAGAUAGCUACACUUGUGGUAAAAAUAACAACAUAACAUAAUGUAUAAACUUGUCAAAUCACUAUGCUGUAUACCUGAAACUAAUGUAACAUUUUGUGGCAACGAUACUAAAAAAAAAAAAAAUAGUGGGAGUUCUAGCCCAGACAAACCUGGCUAUGAAUCCUGAUUCUGUCACUUACUAGCUAUGUAAGCUUGAGCAAGUUAUUUUACCUCUAUGUCUGUUUCUUUAUCUUCAAAUGAGGAUAAUAGCAAUAGCCACCUUAUACAUUUUUGUGAAGACUAAAUGUACACAAGCAUUUAGCACAGUGCUAGCUUAUGGAAGAGCUUAAUAAAUGUCUAGUUACUGUGUUUCUAUAAUGCUUAGCUACACAGAAGUCACAUGUGGGCUUGGUUCUUAAAAGUCAGCUACCAAAAAAAAAAAAAAUCAACUACCAAUUCUGAGGGCUAGAAUGAAAUUAAUCAGAGAAUGAAAGAUUGAACCGACCCUUUCUCUUCUCAGAUGACAGGUCCUUUGUAAGGUACAUAUACCACAUACUCCCAACCAUCUGAUAGGUUCAGCUUUCAAAUGACAGUUCUCCUCUGAAGCUAUCCUAGCCAAAAGAGAGAAGUAUACUAUUCAUUAAGCUGUGUCUGUAGCUAAGUCUGUGUGUCUAAAUUAAAGAAA
rnacentral:lncRNA from 1 species